rnacentral:rRNA from 1 species
AUUGAACGCUGGCGGCAGGCCUAACACAUGCAAGUCGAACGAGUGGCGGACGGGUGAGUAAUGUCUGGGAAACUGCCUGAUGGAGGGGGAUCACUACUGGAAACGGUAGCUAAUACCGCAUACCAUCGGAUGUGCCCAGAGGGGAUUAGCUAGUAGGUGGGGGAAUGGCUCAACUAGGCGACGAUCCCUAGCUGGUCUGAGAGGAUGACCAGACAACCUGGAAUGGAGACCCGGUCCAGACUCCGACGGGAGGCAGCGGUGGGGAAUAUUGCACAAUGGGCGCAAGCCUGAUGCAGCCAUGCCGCGUGGAGGAAGAAGUCCUUCGGGUUUUAAAGUACUUUCAGCGGGGAGGCGUUAACCGCAGAAGAAGCACCGGCUAACUCCGUGCCAGCAGCCGCGGUAAUAC